AAAAGGAUUGUUACCAUUUUAAAAGGCUAAAUAAAAACAAUAAAGAAAACGAAAGUGGAAAACAGGCUCAAGUGGCCACAGUUGAAAAAGGUUUCGCAUUUAUGUUGAAUCGUGCUAUAAUUAAAAACAAAAGUGAUGUUUCAUUUAUUUUGGACUCGGGCGCGUCAGACCAUAUGAUAAAUGAUAAAGAACUGUUUGCUGACUACAUAAGUUUAAAAACACCAAUUGAAAUAUCAGUGGCAAAGUGUGGUGAAUUUAUUUAUGCUACGGCAAAAGGCAUAAUGAAACUUAAAAAUGAGUUCCAGAAAAACAUUACUUUGGAAGACGUACUUUAUUGCAAAGAUAUUCCACAUAAUUUAAUCUCUGUUAAAAGAAUGCAAGAGGCUGGAAUGGUUAUUGAAUUCAACGCAGGAGGUGUCACGGUUACAAAGAACGGUAACAUAAUUAUUAAAAACUCCUCCAGAUUCCUCAAGCUAAGAAGCAGAAUGGGUCUUACUGAUGACGAUGAACAACAAACCUAAACCAAAAAGGAUGAACACUCCUAUCUACUAUGAAAUAUCUUCUUAUUUUGCGUUUUUUUUUAUUAAAUUUUUGAACUUAAAUUUAUUUUAAUUUAUCUACAUAUAUAUUUGCUUGGUUUGAUUGGGUUUUUCUGGGUUUUCCCCAAUCCAUGCAACAAAUGUUGAACCAAGAUAUUGUAUGCACCCCAGAAGGCACAGCAUGUCUUAUAAGUUUUUUUUUUGUACUGAAUUGUUUUUUUUUAGUUUAUUUAAUGUUGUUUUUGAGGAGGUGUAUUAAAUGCAACCAACAUAAGUCUGCAACAUUGUUUGGCUGCAAGACAAAAGCAACAUCAAAUACUUAGAAUUAAAUGUUGCGGAGAUCCUCGGAUACCUAGAAUUAAAUGUUGCGGAGAUCCUCAAAUACCUAGAAUUAAGUGUUGCGAAGAUCAACUAUAAAAGGGACACAUUGAAAUGUAUUUAGUUCAGUUCGCGUAAAACAACCUUUGUGAAUAGUAGAUGUGCUGUGCCAAAUGAAAGAAAAGACUCAUUAAAUAUAAUUAUAAACUAUAA